rnacentral:rRNA from 1 species
ACGCUCGACACCUACGGGAGGCAGCAGUUAGGAAUAUUGGGCAAUGGAGGGAACUCUGACCCAGCAACGCCGCGUGAAGGAAGAAGGUUUUCGGACUGUAAACUUCUGAUCUAAGGGAAAAAGAAGUGAUGGUACCUUAGGAGAAAGCCACGGCUAACUACGUGUCAGCAGCCGCGGUAAUCUGAGCGGGCUGGCAAGGC